rnacentral:lncRNA from 10 species
CAGGGGCCAGCAAAGGGCGAACUUCUGCAGACGAGGACUAUCCAGCCCUAGGGGUACGGGAGAGGGAAAGACGAGGCCGAGAGGGACCCUGACUUUGCAGCAGGGUGUCUGGGCAUUGGUGGCUCCACCUGCAGAACCAAAAGAAUCCACCAGGUCUGAUGGGCAAAGGUUCCUCCUCCCCUGCUGCAGCUAACAUGGAGGACUUGCAUGGAGAUGGUGGAGUCACAGGAUGAACACAGGCUAAGUCACUACCUGGAGGACAGCUGCCUGGACAGUCACCUGGAUCGCAGUGGACUGCAUGAAUGAAAACAAAUUUGUUCCCAGGUUCUUGGGGCUUGAAAAGAUCCCUUUAUGGAGUGAAGCCACUUUUUCUCAACGUUCUGAAACUCACGCUGCUCCAGCCUGAGGCUUCCAGAAGUGCCCUACAGGUGCCUGAGUGUGUGGGCCUGCUGCCUGCAAGUGCACCCGGGGAGUGCGGGGUUUGGCGUUUACAGAUG